rnacentral:rRNA from 1 species
GUGCCAGCAGCCGCGGUAAUACGAAGGGUGCAAGCGUUACUCGGAAUUACUGGGCGUAAAGCGUGCGUAGGUGGUCGUUUAAGUCCGUUGUGAAAGCCCUGGGCUCAACCUGGGAACUGCAGUGGAUACUGGGCGACUAGAGUGUGGUAGAGGGUAGCGGAAUUCCUGGUGUAGCAGUGAAAUGCGUAGAGAUCAGGAGGAACAUCCAUGGCGAAGGCAGCUACCUGGACCAACACUGACACUGAGGCACGAAAGCGUGGGGAGCAAACAGGAUUAGAUACCCUGGUAGUCCACGCCCUAAACGAUGCGAACUGGAUGUUGGGUGCAAUUUGGCACGCAGUAUCGAAGCUAACGCGUUAGGUUCGCCGCCUGGGGAGUACGGUCGCAAGACUGAAACUCAAAGGAAUUGACGGGGGCCCGCACAAGCGGUGGAGUAUGUGGUUUAAUUCGAUGCAACGCGAAGAACCUUACCUGGUCUUGACAUGUCGAGAACUUUCCAGAGAUGGAUUGGUGCCUUCGGGAACUCGAACACAGGUGCUGCAUGGCUGUCGUCAGCUCGU